GACGAACGCUGGCGGCGUGCUUAACACAUGCAAGUCGAACGAGUGGCGGGCGGGUGAGUAAUACGUGAGUAACCUGCCCUCUUUUUGGGGUACGCCUUGGGAACGGGGUCUAAUACCCGAUAAGGGGGGAUGGGCUCGCGGCCUAUCAGCUUGUUGGUGGGUUGAUGGCCUACCAAGGCGGUGACGGGUAGCCGGCCUGAGCGGGUGAACGGGAACAUGGGGACUGUGCUACGGCCUAGGCUCCGACGGGAGGCAGAAGUGGGGGAUAUGGGCCAAUGGCUGAACGCGCGAUGCAGCGACGCCGCGUGGGGGAUGAAGGUUUUCGGGUUCUAAACCUCUGGAGCUAUCGAACGGUUAGGUGGAGAAGAAGCGCCGGCUAACUACGUGCCAGCAGCCGCGGUAAUUC
rnacentral:rRNA from 1 species